rnacentral:rRNA from 1 species
UUCUCCUGGAAAACGGGUGGUAAUACCGGAUGCUCCGCUCCAUCGCAUGGUGGGGUGGGAAAUGCUUUUGCGGCAUGGGAUGGGGUCGCGUCCUAUCAGCUUGUUGGCGGGGUGAUGGCCCACCAAGGCGUUGACGGGUAGCCGGCCUGAGAGGGUGACCGGCCACAUUGGGACUGAGAUACGGCCCAGACUCCUACGGGAGGCAGCAGUGGGGAAUAUUGCACAAUGGGCGCAAGCCUGAUGCAGCGACGCCGCGUGCGGGAUGGAGGCCUUCGGGUUGUAAACCGCUUUUGUUCAAGGGCAAGGCACGGUUUCGGCCGUGUUGAGUGGAUUGUUCGAAUAAGCACCGGCUAACUACGUGCCAGCAGCCGCGGUAAUACGUAGGGUGCGAGCGUUAUCCGGAUUUAUUGGGCGUAAAGGGCUCGUAGGCGGUUCGUCGCGUCCGGUGUGAAAGUCCAUCGCCUAACGGUGGAUCUGCGCCGGGUACGGGCGGGCUGGAGUGCGGUAGGGGAGACUGGAAUUCCCGGUGUAACGGUGGAAUGUGUAGAUAUCGGAAAAGAACACCACA